AUUGAACGCUGGCGGCAUGCCUUACACAUGCAAGUCGAACGGUAACAGGUCUUCGGAUGCUGACGAGUGGCGAACGGGUGAGUAAUACAUCGGAACGUGCCCGAUCGUGGGGGAUAACGAAGCGAAAGCUUUGCUAAUACCGCAUACGAUCUACGGAUGAAAGCAGGGGACCGCAAGGCCUUGCGCGAAAGGAGCGGCCGAUGGCAGAUUAGGUAGUUGGUGGGAUAAAAGCUUACCAAGCCGACGAUCUGUAGCUGGUCUGAGAGGACGACCAGACACACUGGGACUGAGACACGGCCCAGACUCCUACGGGAGGCAGCAGUGGGGAAUUUUGGACAAUGGGCGAAAGCCUGAUCCAGCCAUGCCGCGUGCAGGAUGAAGGCCUUCGGGUUGUAAACUGCUUUUGUACGGAACGAAAAGACUCUGGUUAAUACCUGGGGUCCAUGACGGUACCGUAAGAAUAAGCACCGGCUAACUACGUGCCAGCCGCCGCGGUAACAC
rnacentral:rRNA from 1 species